rnacentral:rRNA from 1 species
UACAGAGGUCUCAAGCGUUGUUCGGAUUCAUUGGGCGUAAAGGGUGUGUAGGUGGCGCCGUAAGUCGGGUGUGAAAUUUCGGAGCUUAACUCCGAAACUGCAUUCGAUACUGCGGUGCUUGAGGACUGGAGAGGAGACUGGAAUUCAUGGUGUAGCAGUGAAAUGCGUAGAGAUCAUGAGGAAGACCAGUGGCGAAGGCGGGUCUCUGGACAGUUACUGACGCUGAGGAGCGAAAGCCAGGGGAGCAAACGGG